CUUUCAAUUUGUGUUAGCUCCCCGAUUGAUCUCAAAUCUCUGCAUUUUUGCAGGGACCGGCUGGCGAGCUCGUAUGUCUAAAGAGGUCUUCCCCUUCGUCUUUAACUCCAACAUACCCAGAUUCUCAGCAAAUCGCCUUUGUUCAUGGCCCCUGGCUGAAGUCAGGGUCACUCUGCUGGCCUGAAAUGUGAAAGGAGUUCAGAGUACACGUCUACCACUGGCCUGAGGAGACAGCAAACUCACAAUCAAUCAAGGAGCUCCCAGCGUUGUUCCUGUGAGCAUGGCACUAUUUGGAACAGCGCUCAUGUACCUGUGUGUGUGUCAUCCUGGAUAGCCUGAUGGUGACAAGUGCCCAUACGGGAAGAGGGCAAUGACUUCCGUCUGAGAUGAUCCCCAUAUGGUCUCAUGUUGAGUGCUUGGUCUCACCUGGUGGUACUGUUUUGUAGCUGGUGGAUGCGUUGAAAAUGGGCACGGAGGAAGUGGUCACUAGGGAGUGCCUCUGAAUGGGACAGACAGUCCCUGGUUCCAUCCUCACACUCUGCUUCCUGCCCGUUAUGGGAUGAGACACUGUUCCACUACACAUUCCUGCCGCCGUGGUGUUCUGUCUGAGCACACGAGGCCAAGAGAGCAUGGAUGGGAGGGACUGUGAGACUGUGAACCAAAAGAACCCUUCUGGCUGGGGAGGUGCUUCAGUUAGCAAAGCACAUGCUGUGUGAGCUGGAGGAAGGACCUGAGUCCCAUCUGCAGCUCCUAUAUGCAGCAAGCCAGAAAGGCGCCAUGUGUGCUUAACCUCAGCAGCAGGGAGGUGGGGCGGGCGGAUCCGGGUGGCUCUCUGACUAGCUUGGUUUUUGAGAUGGGAUCUCUUAGCAAACCUGGAGCUCACUAUUUCAGCUGGACUGGCCAGUGGACUGAGAUCUGCCUGUGUCAAGAUCCAGCACUGGGAUCACAGCUACGUAUCGCCACAUCCAGC